UGACUGUUUUUCCAAAAACAUAGCCCUUGAAAUAAUCAAAGGUGUAACCUGCCCAAUGGCUUCUAAAUAAAGAAAAAUAAAAUUUUUCUAAUAAAGCUUAAAGGACGCAGUAUCUUGACUGUGGUAAUGUAGCAUAAUCACUCGCCACUUAAUUGGUGGAUAGUAUGAAUGGUUGAACGAAUAUUACACUGUCUCUUAAAGAAAACUUAUGAAAUUAAAAUAAUAGUAAAGAUGCUAUUUAAAGCUGUAAGACGAAAAGACCCUAUAGAGCUUAACUACAUUAUAUGUUAAAAACUCAAUAAAUAAUAAAAUUUAAAUAACACAUAUUUUGGUAGUUUAGUUGGGGCGACUAUCUUUUAAAAUAAACAAAGAUAAGCAAAAUUAAUAAAAUAAUUUAUUGUAUAAUCUAUAAAUUUAACAAUUAUAAAAAUAGGCUUUAAUGACCCAUUAGUUCUUUAUAACAAGACUAAUGAUUAAUAAAUAAAAGCUACCUUAGGGAUAACAGGAUAAUUUGUUUUAGAGAUCUAAUCGAAAACCAA
rnacentral:rRNA from 1 species